AUUGAACGCUGGCGGCAGGCCUAACCCAUGCAAGUCGAGCGGAGCGGCGGACGGGUGAGUAAUGCCGAGGCAUCUGCCUGGUCGUGGGGGAUAACGUCAGGAAACGGGCGCUAAUACCGCAUCCUCUCAGAUGAGCCUAGGUCGGAUUAGCUAGUUGGUGGGGUAAAGGCCUACCAAGGCGACGAUCCGUAACUGGGCUGAGAGGAUGAUCAGGCACACUGGAACUGAGAAACGGUCCAGACUCCUACGGGAGGCAGCAGUGGGGAAUAUUGGAAAAUGGGCGAAAGCCUGAUCCAGCCAUGCCGCGGGUUUGAAGAAGGUCUUCGGAUUGUAAAGCACUUUAAGUUGGGAGGCGUUACCAACAGAAUAAGCACCGGCUAACUUCGUGCCAGCAGCCGCGGUAAUAC
rnacentral:rRNA from 1 species